UCCACUUGCAGUUACUAUAAAAUAUUGGCUGUAUUCCCUGUGCUGUCCAAUAUAUCCUCCUAGCUUAUUUUGUACAUAGUAGUUUGUACCUCUUAACCCCGACCCUAGCUUACCCUGCCCCCACUUUUGUAAAAUGCUCCCUUUAUUAAACUCCCCCAAAUACCCAUUUGGCAUGAACACUCUCUUCCUGUCUCCCGCACUCUGAUAAAUACAGAUGGCAUUCAUGUGACUUGAGAUUUUCCAUGUGUGAUGACUGCCUGUUUCAUCAAGUGACGUCAUUAGAGGCUGAAUCUACCUGUGCGCUGCAUGGCUGUGAUUUCACUACAACCAAGCUUUCCCUUGUGUGGGAAGGAAACACUAUGGGGUUGAUGAGCCAGCUUUAUUCUAAAUGACUGAAGACUUCUGUUCUUUUCAACAAACACAGUCCUCCAAUUAGGAGCUGCAAAUAAGAUUAUAUGCCCUGAAUAAGUCUGAAAAGGUCCUUUUAUAAUUACAAAGUUUGUGUGUGGGAAGUGGAAGCAGCAUUAAGUGUUCACUGUGGCUUUAUUAAGAGAGUGACAUGAAGAUUUCCCAAAUCUUCAUCUGAGUACUCUAAAAUGAUAAAAUAAAAAUCAUAGAAAACAGUAUGUAUAUUCCA
rnacentral:lncRNA from 1 species